GUCUUUCUUAUCUGUUUCUAUGUUUGUGCAUGAUAUGAUACGGAUAAUCUACAUUGCUUUUACAUACCUGCUCAAGCUUGAUGCCUUCUGAUCAUAGAUUUCAAUUUUGAGCAUGGCUGCAAUCAUAGUCAGGAUUGCAAAUUCAGCUCAGUGCAGGGGUAACAUAAUGCUCGCAACCAUUGUAGUGUAAUUGACAGUUCUUUAUGUGCACAGUAUUUAAGGAAAAGGCCAAAAAUAAAGGAAGUGCAAAAAAAAAAAAAAAAAAAAUUUGUAGCGUUCUGAGCUAGAUUUAAAUUAUGGCAAUUACUAAGUUGGAUAUUUUAACAUGUCGUAGAUUCAAGUCUUGUUUAGCAUUAACUACAGGGAAGCAUAAAAGAAAUGCAUAAAGAAAAUUACACAAGAAGAUUGCAUCUUUUUCAAGGACAUUUUCAUAAGCCAUUGCCUAUGCAAUUCAAAAACCCUACUCAAAUAACUGACAGAUCAAUGGAAGGCCAAAAUUCUUAUAUGCAAUGGUAAUAAUUGAUAUCAAAUUUCAUGCUUCUGUUUCUCUCAUUUUUUUCUCUUUAAUUUGAUGCUAUUUUAGGUAUACGAUUGGCAGCUACUCGGAAAUUGACUCCUGCUGGCCCUUUAUUAGCUUUAUCUAUCUGUUCUUUGGCUGUGUUCGUCUCAUCAUACUUCAAAGAUAGUCUUUGAUUGUAGAGCUUGCUAACUAAUUGAUGAUAUUGUUUGAUAAUAGUUAUGUUUUGUGAGUUAAUAUGUUGUACUGACCUCUUCUAAAAAUCAUCUGACUGUGUACUCCAAAUGAUCUAUACCGAUUCAUUAAUAGAUCUCUCUACUGAAGUUUUGAUAGCAAUCUUUCCUUUUUUUUUUUUUUUUUUUUUUUGAUCAAAUAAAGUAUUAGGUUUAUUAUAUAUGAUUAUUGAACAUAUCACCAAAUUCCAGGAUCACAGAGUCUAAAUUUGUAAUAACAGAGUUAAUUUGGCUUUGGUUUUGUUGAAUUAGGCAUAAUUUUUUUACUUUACAGUUGCAGUUAGAGGAGUAAGAUUUUAGAGGGAGUAUUUUAUAGUAUAAAAAUUUGACGAUUAAAAAUGCUAGCAAACUUUAAAAUUCUAGAGAAAUAAGUAAUGGUUUAAUUUUAAAAUAUCAUGAUCAUCUCAAAAAACAAGAAAAAAACAAGAAAAUUUUAUAAUUGUAAGUAUGACUAGAAUUUAGUAGUGUUUGAUAAAUGUAAGAGGCGAAAGCAACUGAUUUGAAGUAUAAGAAAUGAGAGCGUACAUUACAUGAGGCCAGAUCUUAAAAGUAAAGCCUGUGGUUGGAAUGAACUUGCAUUUAUGCCAAAGAUAAGACCGUGUACUUGUGAAAUUAAUUCGUUCAUUUGAAAGCAGGCAGAAUCUUCUAGUCUCUUAAUGCACGUAUUGAUUGGUUCAUGAAUCAUGAUUAUGGGCAUUGCUUCUAUAUGAAGUUGAUGUCCAUUGCCUUGCAAAGUGAAAAAAAGGAGUGGGAGAUAACGGAGCUUCUUAUUGAGAAUGAUGAGGCGUAUCUUCCACUCAAAUCACAGUCCCAA
rnacentral:lncRNA from 1 species